rnacentral:rRNA from 1 species
CCUACGGGGGGCUGCAGUGGGGAAUAUUGGACAAUGGGGGGAACCCUGAUCCAGCCAUGCCGCGUGUGUGAAGAAGGCCCUCGGGUUGUAAAGCACUUUCAGUGAGGAAGAACGCCUGGUGGUUAAUACCCAUCAGGAAAGACAUCACUCACAGAAGAAGCACCGGCUAACUCCGUGCCAGCAGCCGCGGUAAUACGGAGGGUGCGAGCGUUAAUCGGAAUUACUGGGCGUAAAGCGCGCGUAGGUGGCUUGAUAAGCCGGUUGUGAAAGCCCCGGGCUCAACCUGGGAACGGCAUCCGGAACUGUCAAGCUAGAGUGCAGGAGAGGAAGGUAGAAUUCCCGGUGUAGCGGUGAAAUGCGUAGAGAAUGGGAGGAAUACCAGUGGCGAAGGCGGCCUUCUGGACUGACACUGACACUGAGGUGCGAAAGCGUGGGUAGCAAACAGGAUUAGAUACCCGAGUAGUC